rnacentral:misc_RNA from 1 species
ACGGAAGAAGGGGAUUAUCAGGUAAAACUGCGCAACCUGGUACGUUUCCUUGAAUCCGGGGACAAAGGCAAGGUUACCUUGCGUUUCCGUGGUCGUGAGAUGGCUCACCAGGAACUGGGCAUGCAGCUGAUGGAGCGGAUCGAAAAGGAUCUGGCUGAAAUCAGUACUGUUGAACAGCGUCCGAAAAUGGAAGGUCGUCAAAUGGUCAUGGUGCUGGCCCCGAAAAAGAAAUAGUCAUCCGACUGCUCGACCCGACGCCGCUCUUCACUGAGACUGGCGCCGGGUCUUGUUGUUUCUCCGGUUUGACUGACUAACAAACGAAUGCGUGGAGAAAGUUAAUGCCUAA